UACGUAUGUCGCAAGCGUUAUUCGGAUUUACUGGGCGUAAAGCGCGUCUAGGUGGUUUGGCAAGUCUGAUGUGAAAAUGCGGGGCUCAACUCCGAAUUGCGUUGGAAACAGUCAAGCUAGAGUACGGGAGAGGUGGGCGGAACUACAAGUGUAGAGGUGAAAUGCGUAGAUAUUUGGAGGAAUGCCGAUGGCGAAGGCAGCCCACUGGACAGAUACUGACGCUGAAGCGCGAAAGCGUGGGUAGCAAACAGG
rnacentral:rRNA from 1 species